UUUACCUCUAAUUGAGUUAUUUCAGUUGGAUGUUAAUAAUGUUUUUCUUUAGUUUCUCUUGGAAGAGGUAGUUUACAGGUUUUGAAAAUUCUGAGCAGUCUUUUGUCUGUUAGCACAAGGCUGUUUAUGGACUUCAACAGGCACCCAAGCAGUGAUUUGAUCACCCCAAAUUUACUUUCCUUCAAUUUGGGUUAACAGCAAGCAAAUAAGGUCCUUCUCUAUUUCUCUACAGACUUGAAUCUCACUAUUUUUGUUAUAUUAUAUGUGGAUGAUAUCAUCAUUAAUUGUAGUUCAUCAUUUCUCAUUCAGCAAGUUACAGCUCACCUUAAUUCUACUUUUUCUCUCAAACAACUUGGCUACUCGGACUAUUUCUUGGGCAUUGAUAUCAAGCAAUUACCCAAUCA
rnacentral:lncRNA from 1 species